GACCUAGCGGCGGACGGGUGAGUAACACGUAAAUAAUCUGCCCUUCAGUUGGGGACAACUAUUCUAACGGAUAGCUAAUACCGAAUAUUGUAACGCAUCAUAAGGUGUCGUUACGAAAGGCUUCGGCCGCUGGAGGAUGAAUUUGCGGCGCAUUAGUUUGUUGGUGAGGUAACGGCCCACCAAGACUUCGAUGCGUAGCCGGCCUGAGAGGGUGAACGGCCACAUUGGGACUGAGAUACGGCCCAGACUCC
rnacentral:rRNA from 1 species